rnacentral:lncRNA from 12 species
AUGGCAAAACCUAAACAAGCCCAUAAAAAGAAAGAACCAAAAGAAAAAGCCAAAGUAGCUCCUACAAAGAAGGAGCCCACAGUUACUAAAGCCAAAGUAAAACUUUCAGUGGCAAAGAAAGAGCCAACAGCUGUGAAAGAGAAGUCUAAAAGGACAGAGCGAAUGAUCACUAAAGAGAAGGCUAAACCUACCUCUAAUAAGAAAGAAGAGAAAGCUGUAAAAGAAGUGAAGCCCAGAGCAGAGGUCAAAAAGAAGGCUCCACCAACAUUGAAAGCCAAUCAAGCCAUUAAAGAAGUUGUGGCUGAAGCACCAGCACCAGCACCAACAAAAGAUCUGAAAGGGGAGGAAAAUGUCACAGAGGGGAAAAGGCCAGGCAAGAUACCAUACUUCCAGUGUGUUUUAAUGAGUUCUAAAUCCAGUCAAUAUCCACUGCGCCCAAUGUCCCCGGCUAUGAGUCCAGCUGUUAACCCCACCAUGAUGAGAGCCAUGAUGGAGCAGAGGGCUGCGUUACUGCAGCAGAAAGCCCAUGCAGCUGGCCAGUAACUGGGCAACAGACCCCGUCCGGCCCUGGCAGGGAAGAUUCUGCUGUUUUUUUCUUAUUGUACAUGAGACUAGCAGUGCAGCAAAUUUAGAACUCGUUAAAUAAUUUAAAUGUUGCUCUAAAUAUUCAUUUAUUUAUUUUCUAUAUCAGACUAUAUGAUCCCAUUACGGAAAGAAGUCUAACAGCACACAUUCACUAAAGGCCUUAUCUUUUAGCCCAGGCCAUUUCCUUUGACUCACUGGUAAUGAGAUAAUGUGUAGAGCAUCUGGGUUCUACCAGGGUCUGCGAUCUCUCUGCAUUUGUAUGCAUGGCCAUUAGAAAACAGGAGGAUGGAAUCCGAUUUCUAUCUUAACCAAUGAAAAGAGCUUGCAUGCUUACAGAAUUGAAAGAGACGUUAAGAAAUGAAGGCACACAAAAGCCUACAGCCUUUAAAUAAUGAAAGGCUUGUAUUUUACUUGACUGAGACUUUUCUAGUUUCUAUUUAGUUAAUGGAAACUCUUAUUGGAGAUUAUUAGAUUUAUGGUAACGAAUUGAAUAGUGUAUCACUAUGUAAAGACUUCAGACUUUUCAUGUACAGGUAAAACCUGUACUAAAAAAUUGUUGAUUUCUCUGUCAUAUCUUGCUGGAUUUUAUCUUGGAGUGGGCAAAAGUCUGAUAAUAAAGUAAUCACUUUGUGCAAACUUGUCUGUGACAGAAUAUUUUUUUUUAAUUAUUCAUUUGUGUGAAAAAGGUUUUUUUUUUUUUUUUGGCAUAAAUAAUAUGUCAAGCCAAAUGUGUGAAAGCAAUUAUAAAUAAAGGAAGCGGUCUGUGUAAUCCAGUCUAUCAAUUUUUUUUUUAUGAAUAAAAUAUCAGAGUCUUUUCUUCUACAAAAUGAUAGUGGGUUAGUUACACUCCUGUGAGUUUUGUAGCCAGUUUAAUAUGAUUUGCCAUGAAACUGAACAAAAAUGUUGAGCAUGAACUCUAGGAAAAGAAUGCUAAUUAAGACUCUUUCUCAGUAUUUAAAAAAAAUGUACAAAAUCCAUAGUAUUCAGCAAAUCUAGUAUUCCAAAUUAUUUAUUUUUUCACAGUAGCAGUUGAAACCUUUUUUGCUCUGUGUUCUUAUUAACAAUAAACUAUAUUUUAAAGUUUAUCUACACUUCACACAGCUGUUAAUAAACAUCUUGGACACUCUUCAUACCAGCAAUUGUGAACUUUCUCUGGUUUCUUAUGAGAUUACAUGGCUGCUGUCUGGACACCAUUGGUAGGGCCAUUCAUAUUUUUAACUGAAUCUAAUCUGCUCAGAAGAAGCUGGUGAAAAAUUCUGACUUUGCUGCUGUAAUUCCCUCUAGUCUGCCCUCUUCAAACCCUCAUGUAUUAAGAGCAACAUAAAACAGGUCCACUAUUUUAAGGCAAAUUCUCUAUGGCUGCCUGGCUAUAAAAAUACAGGAUCUAAGCCAAGGUUCUGGAUUCUAGGCCUCAGUCUGGAUAAGUAGUGUGGCUCAAGCAGGUCACAUCAGCUGAUGAGUGAAGAUAUCUGGGUCAGCUAGAUAACUACAUGAUUGCAAUGUGCUCUAUGCUCUGAGCGCCUCUAUAUAAAUAAUUCAGAAAGGGGUGGGACUUUUUUUAGUACUAUAUGGAAAACCAGAGCAUAGAGUGACAGAGUGACAAUCAUAGUAUAGUCCUAUGUAUAUGUUGGCAAAUCUUCCUUCAAAUAAUAAUAAUAAUAAUAAUAAUAAUAAUAAUAAUACAUCAAAAAUACAGUAAAAAAGUAACAUUGUUAAAUAUAAUUACAACAUAACUUAAAAUUAAUAAUCUGAUAAAAAAUAACUAAAUGAUAAAAAAUACAAUAAAAUAACUUUAAAUUAAUAAUCAAUAAUCUGAAACUUCUACAAAAUAAUUCAAAUAUUCCAUUAAAAAUGUAU